UUCAUUUCAAAACCAUUUCUUUACAUUUUAAUCAUACGCUUUGACCUCAGAGAUAUAUCAUUUCCCCUGAUUUCCUUCAGCAGCUGCUUUGCAUGAGCACUCAGAGCACCUUCCUUUUGUCUUUCCGUUCAGUUUUACAAAAAAUCAUGAAGAGCUAUGUACUUCUUUAGAAAGAAGAUCUAAAUGAAAUUUAGGUUUGCACUGGGACUUAUAGGAGAAGAAGUUCCAAAUGACAUUGGGUCAGGCGAUUGCCUCUUGACAGAUGUCCCUGGCUGUGAGGGAAAGGGCUAUUCUCAAUAGAAGACUGGAAGAAAGAAAGACAGUGCCCAGCAGCUCCAUAUUUAAAGAGCCAGUCAUAGUCUUCAUUUUGUCCAUCCCAUACCAUUUUGUCCAUUAUUUCUUUGUUCCUUAUUUAUAGCAUUGCCUUUCAUCCUUCCCUGUCUUUGGACAUCCAUUCUAGUGUCAAAAAAGCCAAUCAGUCAUUCCACAAAUUUUGAAGAAGGAUCAAAGGCCACCUUUGCUAUGACUAACACCACUCUCCAGAACAAGAUCAGCCACUCUCUGGCCAGGGACAAGAUCAAGCUGGCUUUGGGGAAGAGCUCCUCUCUGCACCUUCUCCUGCCACCCCAGCUGUCACACCCUGAUCCUCUUGGAAUCCCUGCUCCCUGCCAUCUUCAGCCUCAGAGGAACCCCUAGGAAAUCAAGCCAAUUUCCCCAUGGCAGGUGUGGACCGACAGCUGCUGCCUCUGCUGCUGCUUCAGUGGUGUGGAAUUCAAAUCUCUGGUGGGUGUUUAGAGCCUGCAGAUGGAUUAGCUGAUGAUGCUUGUCCAUCAGCAAGCUUUGCAGUGUCCUGCUGAGCAGGGGUGGGGGCAGCUCCAAAACCAAGCUGUCUUGGAAGACCAAGUGAGCUUCCACACAUCACCUGGCCUCUGGGGUUAGCACUGUGCAGAGCUGGGCUACUCUAGGUUUCUAGAUGGAGCUUUUCAUUGUAUAAAAGUCAGCUUUCCUCAUCAUAGUUGGUACAGAAUGACCUGUUCUCUGCAAGGUCAUGCCACACAACAACCACCAGCAAAUAAAAACCCAAAACCUAGUGAUUCUACAUGGUGGUCUUUGAGAGUUGACCAUAGAUCUAGAGGGAGAAGCUCACUGGUGCUUCAGUGGGUGUCAGUGAACCAAACACAGGGGAUGCAGCUAAGAUAACAGAAGGAUAGGAGCAGAAAUUUCGGCUAAAAUUUUAUGGACACAAUCAGUCUGGCUUCCAGUGUAAUAUAGCAGUAGUAUAACCCCUACAUAGUACAGGGGACCCCGGAGAAACAGACAUUCUAUGAAAUGAGUGGGUGACUUGAUUACAGUAGUGGCUUAAUCUCAAAAGGAGUGGAUAGGUUGGCCAAUUCACUGCACUCACCAGGAGACCAUUGAAAAAGCCAUGGACCCAAGUGUGUCGCAAGAGUAGAGUACAAGCUUCUGGGCUCGUUAGAAUGUGAAGGUAGCAGGAGGGCUGUAGGGAGGACCAUGAAAUUCGGAAAGCUACAGGACUCUAAAAAGAUUCUUUUUCCUUAUGGUUCUCGGGAUUGAACCCAGGGCCUUGCACAUGAUAGGUAAGUGCUCUACCACUGAGCUACACCCCAGGCCUCAGUGUUUCAUAAUCUGUAAGAUGAAUAGGAGUAGGGUGGUCCAGCUCAGCAGAGGGCUUUUCUAGGAGCCACAUGAAGUAGCUGCAUUUCUGCUUCCAGGACUUCCCAGCAAAAUGGAAGCAGCUAUAUGGAGGAAGAUGAGGUUAAACUCCUAACUCUGAGAAUUUGGGCAGCAUUGGAAAGUAUCACCUGGAAGGGAGCAGAGUUCUCUCCAGAUUGUAAGGAAGUAUAGAUGAGUGUUUUUGAAGGCUUACAGGUAUGAAUGGGGUCAGCCUUAUUUCAAGGAUAAAUGAAC
rnacentral:lncRNA from 1 species